rnacentral:rRNA from 1 species
UACGGGGGGAGCAAGCGUUGUUCGGAUUUACUGGGCGUAAAGGGCGCGUAGGCGGUCAGCACAAGUCAGUUGUGAAAUCUCCGGGCUUAACUCGGAAAGGUCAACUGAUACUGUGCGACUAGAGUGCGGAAGGGGCAACUGGAAUUCUCGGUGUAGCGGUGAAAUGCGCAGAUAUCGGGAGGAACACCCGUAGCGAAGGCGGCACUCUGGGCCGGUACUGACGCUGAGGAGCGAAAGCGUGGGGAGCAAACAGG